rnacentral:rRNA from 1 species
UACAGAGGUCUCAAGCGUUGUUCGGAUUUACUGGGCGUAAAGGGUGCGUAGGCGGCGAGGUCAGUCAGAUGUGAAAGCUCGGGGCUCAACCCUGAAACUGCAUCCGAUACUGCCUUGCUCGAGUAGUGGAGAGGAGACUGGAAUUCACGGUGUAGCAGUGAAAUGCGUAGAUAUCGUGAGGAACACUAGUGGCGAAGGCGAGUCUCUGGACACUUACUGACGCUGAGGCACGAAGGCCAGGGGAGCGAAAGGG